UCACGUUUUACACGUUCAACAACCGCGGACUGUUUCUCCCUGGUGCACACUUGCGACCUCGGUUGCGAGUGCCAAAUGAAGCGCUUUGCGUGAUUUCGGGCUUCAUCUGCAUCGGGCGUUUUCACGUAAAUCCGUGCACAACCUCUUUAACAAUGACUGUUAUUUGUUUGAACUGACUAGUUCUGUCUUUGCUGUAAUGGCAGAGCGAACAAUUAUUUAAAUUACGUA
rnacentral:misc_RNA from 1 species